UGGGGAAUAUUGGACAAUGGGGGAAACCCUGAUCCAGCGACGCCGCGUGUGUGAAGAAGGCCUGCGGGUUGUAAAGCACUUUUAGUGGGGAUGAAAAGCUCAGGGAUAACACCUCUGGGUCUUGACCUAACCCACAGAAAAAGCACCGGCUAACUCUGUGCCAGCAGCCGCGGUAAUACAGAGGGUGCAAGCGUUAAUCGGAAUUACUGGGCGUAAAGCGUGCGUAGACGGUUAUGUAAGUCGGGUGUGAAAGCCCCGGGCUCAACCUGGGAAUGCCAUUCGAGACUGCAUAGCUAGGGUGCGGAAGAGGGAAGCGGAAUUUCCGGUGUAGCGGUGAAAUGCGUAGAUAUCGGAAGGAACACCAGUGGCGAAAGCGGCUUCCUGGUCCAGCACCGACGUUCAGGCACGAAAGCGUGGGGAGCAAACA
rnacentral:rRNA from 1 species